rnacentral:lncRNA from 1 species
GGACUCGAAAGCUCAAGUCAACCCGCGUUGUCGUUGGAAGAGAUGAUCCUGAUGACAAUCUACUCAUGACGAGCAGGGGAAGACGAACCAAAGGAGAGGACGAGCCGCAGGGGAGGACGAGCCGCAGGGGAGGACGAGCCGCAGGGGAGGACGAGCCGCAGGGGAGGACGAGCCGCAGGGGAGGACGAGCCGCAGAAAGUUAUUUAAAUUAUUCGUUACAGUUGUUGUUGAUUUUAUUUAAAGUUUACGUGUAGGUGUGCGUGUAUCUGUAAUGUAUAUCAUUAUUUGUUAGUUAACGAGUCGACGGCGAGCUGCGAUGUUUAAGAUAUCAAUUAUAUUUAUUAAGUGAAGUAGCGCUUCCGCGUACCGAACGGUGACGUCAUCACGCCUGCAGGUCUUGCGUCAUCAUCCGCAUCGGCGCUCUAGUUCAAUAAAGAGUAAUUGUCCGAUCAGUUUAAACAUUUGAGGGUACAUUCAUUCCCAAAAGCUGACAAUUGGGUAAAAACGUUUAUUGUCCACAAAACAACGUCUUUUUCAACUUUGACCUUUAGUUUUUUUUCUAGGUACCGGAACGACGAGGACUUUUAAAAUUUAUUUAUGAUUAUGUUUUAAACAAAUUAACCAACUUUCAGCUUCAUGGGAAUUGAUUUUGCUUUACAUUAUAUAUUUUAGGUAAUAACUUGACUGGGCUAUAAUUUCUUGUAUAUAUUCUUGCAUUGCUCUUUCCUAACUUUAUUAGGUGUACUGCGUUAGAAACAAAGAUGGACGGGAUGGAUAUAAGGUAACUUGAGGAAAAUGUAGGAUCCUGAUUGUGACGUCACCGUUAACGGAAUGUGGUAUCUACCUACGCCUAAUUAUUAUUAUUUCAAAGUUAAACACAAUAUACCUACCUCUACCAAAGACAGAAUGGAACAUCGAGCGCAUGUACUUAACAAAUAAUAAAAACAAAUUAGGGGAAGAUAAAAUAGUCGCAGUUGUUCUUUCCGUGCAAUAUUUGUUCAAAGUGUUAUUAGUUAGUACCUAGUUAAGUAGAUAAAUAUUUAUAUAAUACUUAGUAUAGGUAUUAAUAGAAUAAUUUGAAAACACUUGGUGCUCGUUGGUGCUGAAUUAGUUAAGAAACUUAUGUUACGAGUAAGUAAGUACUAUGCUAAGAAUAAUAAUUGUGA